GAUGAACGCUAGCGGCAGGCCUAACGCAUGCAAGUCGAGGGGGAAGUUACUUUCGGGUGACUGAGACCGGCGUACGGGUGCGUAACGCGUAUACAAUCUGCCUUUCACUGGGGGGUAGCCCGAAGAAAUUUGGAUUAAUACCCCAUAGUAUAUAGGGACGGCAUCGUUUUUAUAUUAAAGCUUAGGUGGUGAAAGAUGAGUAUGCGUUCUAUUAGCUAGUUGGAGAGGUAACGGCUCCCCAAGGCGAUGAUAGAUAGGGGUUCUGAGAGGGAUGUCCCCCACACUGGUACUGAGAUACGGACCAGACUCCUACGGGAGGCAGCAGUGAGGAAUAUUGGACAAUGGUCGGAAGACUGAUCCAGCCAUGCCGCGUGCAGGAUGAAGGUCUUAUGGAUUGUAAACUGCUUUUGUAAGGGAAGAAUAAGGGCUACGCGUAGUUUGAUGACGGUACCUUACGAAUAAACAUCGGCGAACUCCGU
rnacentral:rRNA from 1 species